rnacentral:rRNA from 1 species
UGCCGGUGACAAACCGGAGGAAGGUGGGGAUGACGUCAAAUCAUCAUGCCCCUUAUGACCUGGGCUACACACGUGCUACAAUGGACGGUACAAAGAGCUGCAAGACCGCGAGGUGGAGCUAAUCUCAUAAAACCGUUCUCAGUUCGGAUUGUAGGCUGCAACUCGCCUACAUGAAGCUGGAAUCGCUAGUAAUCGCGGAUCAGCAUGCCGCGGUGAAUACGUUCCCGGGCCUUGUACACACCGCCCGUCACACCACGAGAGUUUGUAACACCCGAAGUCGGUGGGGUAACCUUUUUGGAGCCAGCCGCCUAAGGUGG